rfam:Gossypium hirsutum cultivar TM-1 unplaced genomic scaffold scaffold2644.1, whole genome shotgun sequence
AACCCAUGGUAAGAGCACCUUUUCAAUAGAUCCGUAUACCUCUCCCAUGCAUCGUAUAGGGUCUCUAAGUCCAUUUGCACAAAGGAAGAGAUAUCAUUCCUCAACUU